AGAGUUUGAUCCUGGCUCAGAACGAACGCUGGCGGCAGGCUUAACACAUGCAAGUUGAACGGGAACAUACGAUAGCUUGCUAUAGUAUGUGAGAGUGGCGCACGGGUGAGUAAUACAUGGGAACAUACCUUAAAGUGGGGGAUAACUUCUGGAAACGGAUGCUAAUACCGCAUAUACCCUGAGGGGGAAAGAUUUAUCGCUUUAAGAUUGGCCCAUGGCAGAUUAGGUAGUUGGUGGGGUAAAGGCCUACCAAGCCGACGAUCUGUAGCUGGUCUGAGAGGACGAUCAGCCACAUUGGGACUGAGACACGGCCCAGACUCCUACGGGAGGCAGCAGUGAGGAAUAUUGGGCAAUGGGGGCAACCCUGACCCAGCCAUGCCGCGUGAGUGAAGAAGGUUUUCGAAUUGUAAAGCUCUUUCGGAUGUGACGAUGAUGACGGUAGCAUCUAAAGAAGCCCCGGCAAACUUCGUGCCAGCAGCCGCGGUAAUACGAAGGGGGCGAGCGUUGUUCGGAAUUACUGGGCGUAAAGGGUGUGUAGGUGGACGUGUAAGAUAGCGGUGAAAUGCCGGAGCUCAACUUCGGAAUUGCCAUUAUAACUAUGCGUCUAGAAUUAUAGAGAGGAUAGCGGAAUACCCAGUGUAGAGGUGAAAUUCGUAGAUAUUGGGUAGAACACCAGUGGCGAAGGCGGCUAUCUGGCUAUAUAUUGACACUGAGGCACGAAAGCAUGGGGAUCAAACAGGAUUAGAUACCCUGGUAGUCCAUGCCGUAAACGAUGAAUGCUGGUUGUCGGACGAAUGUUCGGUGACGAAGUUAACGCGAUAAGCAUUCCGCCUGGGGAGUACGGCCGCAAGGUUAAAACUCAAAGGAAUUGACGGGGACCCGCACAAGCGGUGGAGCAUGUGGUUUAAUU
rnacentral:rRNA from 1 species